ACUUUUUUUUUUUUUUUUUUUUUUUUUUUUUUUUUUUUUUUUUUUUUUUUUUUUGUUUAAUGCACCUUUA
rnacentral:ribozyme from 1 species